rnacentral:rRNA from 1 species
AGAGUUUGAUUAUGGCUCAGGACGAACGCUGGCGGCGUGCCUAACACAUGCAAGUCGAACGGAGCUGUUUUGGACGGAGACUUCGGUCAAAGACCAUGACAGCUUAGUGGCGGACGGGUGAGUAACGCGUGAGUAACCUGCCGUUCAGAGGGGGACAACAGUUGGAAACGACUGCUAAUACCGCAUAAUGUAUAUAGGAGGCAUCUUCUGUAUACCAAAGGAGCAAUCCGCUGAAUGAUGGACUCGCGUCCGAUUAGAUAGUUGGUGGGGUAACGGCCUACCAAGUCGACGAUCGGUAGCCGGACUGAGAGGUUGAUCGGCCACAUUGGGACUGAGACACGGCCCAG